rnacentral:rRNA from 1 species
GACGAACGCUGGCGGCGUGCUUAACACAUGCAAGUCGAACGGGCCUUGUCCCCUUUUUUUUGGGGGUGGGGUUAGUGGCGAACGGGUGAGUAACACGUGAGUAACCUGCCCCUCACUUCUGGAUAACCGCUUGAAAGGGUGGCUAAUACGGGGUGUUCUGGCCUGCUCGCAUGGGUGGGUUUGGAAAGAUUCGACCGGUUUUGGUUGUUUUGGUGGGGGAUGGGCUCGCGGCCUAUCAGCUUGUUGGUGGGUGAUGGCCUGCCAAGGCUUUGACGGGUAGCCGGCCUGAGAGGGUGGGCGGUCACACUGGGACUGAGACACGGCCCAGACCCCUACGGGAGGCAGCAGUGGGGAAUAUUGCACAAUGGGCGCAAGCCUGAUGCAGCGACGCCGCGUGAGGGAUGGAGGCCUUCGGGUUGUGAACCUCUUUCGCCAGUGAAGAAGGUCCUGCUCUUUGUGGUGGGGUUGACGGUAGCUGGGUUAAUGAAGCGCCGGCUAACUACGUG